GACGAACGCUGGCGGCGUGCUUAACACAUGCAAGUCGAACGGAAAGACCCUGCUUUUGUGGGGUGCUCGAGUGGCGAACGGGUGAGUAACACGUGAGUAACCUGCCCUUGACUUUGGGAUAACUUCAGGAAACUGGGGCUAAUACCGGAUAGGAUCUCCUGCUGCAUGGUGGGGGUUGGAAAGUUUCGGCGGUGGGGGAUGGACUCGCGGCUUAUCAGCUUGUUGGUGGGGUAGUGGCUUACCAAGGCUUUGACGGGUAGCCGGCCUGAGAGGGUGACCGGCCACAUUGGGACUGAGAUACGGCCCAGACUCCUACGGGAGGCAGCAGGGGGGAAUAUUGCACAGUGGGCGGAAGCCUGAUGCAGCAACGCCGCGUGCGGGAUGACGGCCUUCGGGUUGUAAACCGCUUUCGCCUGUGACGAAGCGUGAGUGACGGUAAUGGGUAAAGAAGCACCGGCUAACUACGUG
rnacentral:rRNA from 1 species